rnacentral:lncRNA from 1 species
UGCUUUUGGAUACUUAAGUGACCACCUCACUUUUUUGUGAUGCGGCUUGUUCAAUUUUUGGAUAGUUCUCGUGGACACAUGGAAAUGCUGAGUAGAACUAUGAUACAAAUCAGCUCACCAUAAAGUACAAUCUCCAGUGGCCAGAGAGAACUAAAAGGAAACUAAAAACCUGCAUGACACAGUUAGCUUUGGAGCUUAAGAUGAGAUAAUGAGUGAUGGCGCUUGCCAGUAAUCCCAGCUAUUCCAGAGGCUGAGCUGGAAGGAUCCCUUGAGCCUAGGAGUGCAAGGCUGCAUUGAGCUAUUAUCACACCACUGCACUCCAGCCUGGGCAACAGAGUGAGACCUCAUCUCUGGACAAGUGUUAUUUGUGACAGCACAAUGUUUGAUACAACCCAAAUGUUGAAUGAAAGUGGACCAGCUAAAUAAACCAUGAACAUUUACGC